CGCGGCCUAUCAGCUUGUUGGUGGGGUAACGGCCUACCAAGGCAUCGACGGGUAGCUGGUCUGAGAGGACGAUCAGCCACACUGGGACUGAGACACGGCCCAGACUCCUACGGGAGGCAGCAGUGGGGAAUAUUGCGCAAUGGGCGAAAGCCUGACGCAGCAACGCCGCGUGGGGGAUGACGGCCUUCGGGUUGUAAACCCCUUUCAGCAGGGACGAAAAUGACGGUACCUGCAGAAGAAGCCCCGGCCAACUACGUGCCAGCAGCCGCGGUAACACGUAGGGGGCAAGCGUUGUCCGGAUUUAUUGGGCGUAAAGAGCUCGUAGGCGGUUGCGUAAGUCGGAUGUGAAAACUCAGGGCUCAACCCGGAGACGCCAUCCGAUACUGCGCUGACUAGAGUCCGGUAGAGGAGCAUGGAAUUCCUGGUGUAGCGGUGAAAUGCGCAGAUAUCAGGAGGAACACCAGUGGCGAAGGCGGUGCUCUGGGCCGGCACUGACGCUGAGGAGCGAAAGCGUGGGUAGCGAACAGGAUUAGAUACCCUGGUAGUCCACGCCGUAAACGUUGGGCACUAGGUGUGGGGCCUCCUUAACGGGUUCCGUGCCGUAGCUAACGCAUUAAGUGCCCCGCCUGGGGAGUACGG
rnacentral:rRNA from 1 species